rnacentral:rRNA from 1 species
UACGUGGGUGGCAAGCGUUAUCCGGAUUUAUUGGGCGUAAAGGGAACGCAGGCGGUCUUUUAAGUCUGAUGUGAAAGCCUUCGGCUUAACCGGAGUAGUGCAUUGGAAACUGGGAGACUUGAGUGCAGAAGAGGAGAGUGGAACUCCAUGUGUAGCGGUGAAAUGCGUAGAUAUAUGGAAGAACACCAGUGGCGAAAGCGGCUCUCUGGUCUGUAACUGACGCUGAGGUUCGAAAGCGUGGGUAGCAAACAGG